rnacentral:tRNA from 1 species
CGGCGUGUAGCUCAUCGGAAGAGCGCCGGGCUCGGACCCGGAGGAGCGGGAUCAACACCUGCCACGCCGG